AACGACUCUCGGCAACGGAUAUCUCGGCUCUCGCAUCGAUGAAGAACGUAGCGAAAUGCGAUACUUGGUGUGAAUUGCAGAAUCCCGUGAACCAUCGAGUCUUUGAACGCAAGUUGCGCCCGAAGCCGUUAGGCCGAGGGCACGUCUGGCUGGGUGUCACACAACG
rnacentral:rRNA from 4 species